rnacentral:rRNA from 1 species
AUCGAACGCUGGCGGCAGGCCUAACACAUGCAAGUCGAGCGGCGCGGCGGAAGGGAGAGUAACGCCUAGGAAUCUGCCUGGUAGUGGGGGAGAAAGUCCGGAAACGGGCGCUAAUACCGCAUACUAUCAGAUGAGGCUAGGUCGGAUUAGCUAGGUGGUGUGGUAAAGGCCUUCCAAGGCGACGAGCCGUAACUGGUCUGAGAGGAUGAUCAGUCACACUGGAACUGUGACACUGACCAGACUCCUACGGGAGGCAGCAGUGGUGCAUAUUGGGCAAUGGGCGAAAGCCUGAUACAGCCCUGCCGCGUGUGUGAAGAAGGUCUUCGGAUUGUAAGGCACUUUUAGUUGGGAGGCGUUACCAACAGAAUAAGCACCGGCUAACUUCGUGCCAGCAGCCGCGGUAAUUC